AUUGCCUAUUUUACCCCUCUACAUAUUAUAUUUUCUUAGGAAUUUCAACGUCACCAGACUUCUUUCUGCUGCUUUCCAUCAAUAAUCCCUCGAUUCAAUCAAAUCUACACAAUCCCCUUUGUUUUCAUCGAAUUUCAACGCCACCAGAUUUCUUUUUGCUGCUUUCCAUCAAUAAUCCCUCAAUUCAAUCAAAUCAACAUAAUCCCUUUUGUUUUCAUCUAUUUAAUACUAUAUUAUUAUAAAUCAAAUCUCCUCUACCCUAUAACCACGUUAUACAGCAAGACGUAAUCUUCCACAAAGAACGACAUCCUCUUCUUCCUCGCCAAAACCCACCCCCCUUCGGCUUCCGAUCUCCACGACGCACUGCACAAGAGAAUCAGCAGAUAUUCGUGCUUCGCCGCUGCUCUGAGCCUCUGGUCCACCGUGCUUCACCGCCGCUCUUAGUCUUUUUCUGGUCGCGCAGGACCGACGUUCACAAGAUAACAUCAGCAUUAUCAUUGCUGAUCUGAGAGGUGUAUGGCUGGUGCAGUGUGGCUUUGCUUGAAUAACUGCUGCACUUCAAUUUGUUCUUCUCAUUAUGCUCGACUUUGUUAUGUUGAACUUCUCUUAGUUUUUUUAUGGUCGCGCAGACCGACAUUCACAAGGUAACAUCAGUAUUAUCAUUGCUGAUCUGAGGCGAACAUACCGGCAAAAUCUACUGGUGCAGAAGCAAAACAUUGCGUUGGAAUUGGCCCAAGCUGUAGCUACUAUCACUUUAGUUUCUCUUGGUACAUGGAUGUCAACUUUGAUUCUCGCUCCAUCUGUUCAUAAGCAUUAUUAGAAUAGAGUGAAUUCUCUUCCUUGAAUCUAUUAUAUAAAUCCUUCCGUAUGUUUAUAAUUAUUUCUGGUAAACUAAAUCUAACCUUUCUUAUUCGGGUUCAAAUCGGAGAAAGAAUGUAUUUAGUUCUGUUGGGUACAACGAAAAAAUUAAGCUUCUUGUGCUCUGAUACAAGUUGUUUGUAGCAUUAACAAAAGCAUUACCAGGAAUCCUUAACAUUAA